rnacentral:rRNA from 1 species
AGAGCGAACGCUGGCGGCAGGCUUAACACAUGCAAGUCGAACGGGCGUAGCAAUACGUCAGUGGCAGACGGGUGAGUAACGCGUGGGAACGUACCUUUUGGUUCGGAACAACACAGGGAAACUUGUGCUAAAUACCGGAUAAGCCCUUACGGGGAAAGAUUUUAUCGCCGAAAGAUCGGCCCGCGUCUGAUUAGCUAGUUGGUAGGGUAACGGCCUACCAAGGCGACGAUCAGUAGCUGGUCUGAGAGGAUGAUCAGCCACAUUGGGACUGAGACACGGCCCAAACUCCUACGGGAGGCAGCAGUGGGGAAUAUUGGACAAUGGGCGAAAGCCUGAUCCAGCCAUGCCGCGUGAGUGAUGAAGGCCCUAGGGUUGUAAAGCUCUUUUGUGCGGGAAGAUAAUGACGGUACCGCAAGAAUAAGCCCCGGCUAACUUCGUGCCAGCAGCCGC